GCAUGAAAGAGUUCCUCACAUCAGCCACCAACCAAGUCUCAAUAAAAAAAAAAAUAUACAAAAUAACAGAAAUACAGCGACGACACAUUAUGUUGAACGUUAAAUCAAAUUCAUUUCAAAGGUUUAAAACGUCUCUCUGAUCUUCCUCUGAUGCGAUUUGCCACGCAAGCAGUUCUGCAUGGCAACAACAGAACUAAUGGGCUGAUUGGUGGAUUACAAAAUUGGUGAUUUUCGCAUCGUCUCGUCAGUUGCUGACACCAGUUCAAAUGUGAAGACGGGACGGGAGUUUUUCUUUGAGUAACAUUCUCGUUCAACAGAAUUGCUGGCAAAAACCUAAAGCAGGAUUUCUACGAGAACCUUGAUAGAUAUAGUCCACGGUUCAUGGACCUUUUUUAAGCCAAAGGGGAGACUCCUGGUCAGCAACGUUACUUGGCUAACUUUUUGAAUCAAAUAAAGUCAGCCCAACCAACGGAGGUCCUAACCCUUGUGAUUCAAGGACUACCUAUCAUGCUUGGAGAUGAUGGUGACUUCAUUUCUUCAAGUCAUAUUUAGUGUCUGAUCAUCGCAACUCCAUCCUUAAUGUGCCAGUGGGCAUCUUAUUUGAGGACACUGACUUUCAGCCCCCAAUUCCUUGUAUUUAACUUCUACGAUUGGAAUAAUAAAAUGCAGGACCUCCCACAGGCUAUGUGUCUCCUCUUCGGUCUGAUCUACGAACUUGAACUGAAUUACCCCAAAUCAUUUUGCAACACGUUUGAUUUCAUCCAGCGUGUGUUAAUGUCAAUGGGACAAUAUUCUCUCAAGCCUAAAUUGCAGUCUCUGGCAAACCAGCUUUUUGUAAAAAAAAACAAAAAAAAAAAAAAAAAACUUCACUUUGAGACUUUAACACCACUCUGAGAAUGUUCUACAAAUGAUUUGCAGGAUAUAUAUACCAUGUAUUGGUACCAUUUUUACUACCUCUUCAGUUUUGUGACCCAGAAAAUAUUUGUUUAAAAAAAAAAUGCCACUUUGAGACUUUAAUAUUUCUGAAAAUGUUUUGUUUUGUGAGGGAAAAUGGUUUAAAUUGUGAAAUGCUCUAUAAUUAAUGUGCAUUAGUCAAUUUAGUAUAUUGUUACCAUUGUUGGUAACAAUACCUCUACAGUGUGUUCAAUUACAGUAUAGUUUGUACUGUAAUAUUGUGCAAAUAUUUGGUCAAAGACAGUGACUAUGGUCAGUAUGCUUUACUUAUUUUGCUGUGAUUGCAUAAAGCUUAAACCAGUAAAAUGUUAAAAGAAUGUACAUUACGUGUAAAUGUUCA